GAGGGUAUGGCUCAGUGGUAGAGCACAUGCUUAGCAUGCAUGAGGUUCUGGGUUCAAUCCCCAGUACCUCCA
rnacentral:tRNA from 1 species